CAGACCAUAUUCUUAGGAUCAUUUCUUGAGUUUGUUCUAACUUACUAAUCUCAUCAUUAGUAAUCUCGUUCAUGGCAGGGAUGAAGAAGUAUGACUACACUAUCAGAGCGCGAUGCAGGUAAUAUAUCGGAGUUAUCUCUGAUAUGCUACACAUAGAUGACCGUAGUGAUACUAAGCAUAUCACAAGAUAGUAGUAGUGCUCUAAUCUGC
rnacentral:snoRNA from 1 species